rnacentral:rRNA from 1 species
CUACGUGCCAGCAGCCGCGGUAAUACGUAGGGUGCGAGCGUUAAUCGGAAUUACUGGGCGUAAAGCGAGCGCAGACGGUUAUUUAAGCAGGAUGUGAAAUCCCCGGGCUUAACCUGGGAACUGCGUUCUGAACUGGGUGACUAGAGUGUGUCAGAGGGAGGUAGAAUUCCACGUGUAGCAGUGAAAUGCGUAGAGAUGUGGAGGAAUACCGAUGGCGAAGGCAGCCUCCUGGGAUAACACUGACGUUCAUGCCCGAAAGCGUGGGUAGCAAACAGGAUUAGAUACCCUGGUAGUCCACGCCCUAAACGAUGUCGAUUAGCUGUUGGGCAGCAUGACUGCUUAGUAGCGAAGCUAACGCGUGAAAUCGACCGCCUGGGGAGUACGGUCGCAAGAUUAAAACUCAAAGGAAUUGACGGGGACCCGCACAAGCGGUGGAUGAUGUGGAUUAAUUCGAUGCAACGCGAAGAACCUUACCKGUCUUGACAU